GCAAGUCGAGGGGCAGCAUUGGAGUAGCAAUACUUCAGAUGGCGACCGGCGCACGGGUGAGUAACACGUAUCCAACCUGCCGCUUACUCGGGGAUAGCCUUUCGAAAGAAAGAUUAAUACCCGAUGGUAUAAAGAGUUCGCAUGUUCUCUUUAUUAAAGAAUUUCGGUAAGCGAUGGGGAUGCGUUCCAUUAGAUAGUUGGCGGGUAACGGCCCACCAAGUCUACGAUGGAUAGGGGUUCUGAGAGGAAGGUCCCCCACAUUGGAACUGAGACACGGUCCAAACUCCUACGGGAGGCAGCAGUGAGGAAUAUUGGUCAAUGGACGAGAGUCUGAACCAGCCAAGUCGCGUGAAGGAAGAAGGAUCUAUGGUUCGUAAACUUCUUUUGCAGGGGAAUAAAGUGCAGGACGUGUCCUGUUUUGUAUGUACCCUGAGAAUAAGGAUCGGCUAACUCCGUGCCAGCCGCCGC
rnacentral:rRNA from 1 species